AAGUCGUAACAAGGUUUCCGUAGGUGAACCUGCGGAAGGAUCAUCAAAAAGAAUGAUAAUUUAUUAUCAAAAGGAGAAUUAGAGGGUUGUCUUUUUUGGACGGCUUUGGGUCAGGUUUAAGAUCUGAUCUGGGUAGUGAAUGGAUGAAUCAUCCGUCAGACUAUCAUUUAAUUUUAUAUGACUAUGAUCAUAUUUUUUAUUAUUCAUUGAACAGGAUUUUAAUGGAGAUGUAACUAAUCUAUCUCUUGAUAAUGAAAACAACUUUUGACAAUGGAUCUCUCGGCUCCCC
rnacentral:misc_RNA from 1 species